GAUGAACGCUGGCGGCGUGCCUAAUACAUGCAAGUCGAGCGAACGGACGAGAAGCUUGCUUCUCUGAUGUUAGCGGCGGACGGGUGAGUAACACGUGGAUAACCUACCUAUAAGACUGGGAUAACUUCGGGAAACCGGAGCUAAUACCGGAUGAUAUUUUGAACCGCAUGGUUCAAAAGUGAAAGACGGUCUUGCUGUCACUUAUAGAUGGAUCCGCGCUGCAUUAGCUAGUUGGUAAGGUAACGGCUUACCAAGGCAACGAUGCAUAGCCGACCUGAGAGAGUGAUCGGCCACACUGGAACUGAGACACGGUCCAGACUCCUACGGGAGGCAGCAGUAGGGAAUCUUCCGCAAUGGGCGAGAGCCUGACGGAGCAACGCCGCGUGAGUGAUGAAGGUCUUCGGAUCGUAAAACUCUGUUAUUAGGGAAGAACAUAUGUGUAAGUAACUGUGCACAUCUUGACGGUACCUAAUCAGAAAGCCACGGCUAACUACGUG
rnacentral:rRNA from 1 species